CCUACGGGAGGCAGCAGUGGGGAAUAUUGCACAAUGGGGGAAACCCUGAUGCAGCAACGCCGCGUGGGUGAAGGAGCGUUUCGGCGCGUAAAGCCCUGUCAGCGGGGAAGAAGAAAGACGGUACCCGACCAAGAAGCCUCGGCUAACUACGCGCCAGCAGCCGCGGUAAUACGUAGGGCGGGAGCGUUAUCCGGAAUUACUGGGGGUAAAGGGAGCGUAGACGGCGAGGUAAGCCUGAAGUGGAAGCCCGGGGCGCAACCGCGGAACUGCUUUGGGAAUUGUUUUGGUGGAGUAUGGGAGGGGUAAGCGGAAUUCCAGGUGUAGCGGUGAAAUGCGUAGAUAUCAGGAGGAACACCAGUGGCGAAGGCGGCUUACUGGACCAUAACUGACGUUGAGGCGCGAAAGCGUGGGGAGCGAACAGGAUUAGAUACCCGUGUAGUC
rnacentral:rRNA from 1 species